rnacentral:lncRNA from 1 species
UUUAUACAACUCCAAGAAUAGAAAUCAAAAAUAUAAAACCCUUGGCCCUUUGUUAGGGCUACAUCCGGCCCUAGAGAAGAUCAGCCUUCCAUGAAGUUGUGGGCGGCAGCAGCAGCACAGCAGCGGGCUCCCAUUUGCAUCAUGAUCAGCUUCCUUUCUUCCUCCCUCAGCACUUCAUUCUUAUUUUUUUAUAUACAUGGGAAGUUAUUCCCAAAAUAUCCAAACCUCUCUCCCUCCUCU